UACCUGGUUGAUCCUGCCAGUAUUCAUAUGCUCGUCUCAAAGACUAAGCCAUGCAAGUGUAUGUACAAGCUUUCCUAAAAUGUGAAACCGCAAACGGCUCAUUAAAUCAGAUAUAACUAACAGGAUGUCGGGGCACACCCGCCGCUUGGAUACCCGUGGAAAGCCUAGAGCUAAUACAUGCAACUAUGCUGCGGCCACGCUUGCGCUGUUCCAGCGCCUCUCGAACAAACGGCUGUCUCACGAAUGGUCGCGGGAGUGUCGUUGGGGUGUCUCGCGUGGUUGGGGCGCAAUUAUUAGAUUUCAAAAACCGGCUUUCCUUGCACGAUACGCGUGAUUGCGUCGUGUUUUUGAUGACUCUGAGUAAUCGGGCCGAGCGCUGCGGUUCUUAUACCGGCGCCGUAUCUGUCAAGUCUCUGCUCUAACAGCAUCACUGUAGGCUAUAUGCCUACAAUUGUUGUUACGGGUAACGGGGAAUCUGGGUUCGAUUCCGGAGAAGGAGCCUGAGAAACGGCUACCAUAUCCAAGGAAAGCAGCAGGCACGCAACUUACCCAAUUCUGGCACGGAGAGGUAGUGACGAAUAGUAACGGCCUUGUGACUCGGCUGAGGCCUCAGGGUUGGAAAAAGAUUGUACUAAACCAUCUAUCGUGGAUUGGAGGGCAAGUCUGGUGCCAGCAGCCGCGGUAAUUCCAGCUCCAAUAGCAUAUAUUAAACUUGCUGCGGUUAAAAAGCUCGUAGUUGGAUUUUACAUCCGGGCCGGUAGCCCAUACGUGUCGCGUGUUUCGCGCUCGCUGCCUAAGAUGCGUUAACUGUGCGUUAACCGCGCUUACCCUCUUAGCUGCUGCCGUUACUUACCUUUUGGACACGGGCGGUUUACCGUGUUUCUCGUUGCGUGGGCUCUUAUUCGGGGUUUGCGCACGGUUACUGCCGUUUCGCUACGCACUAUACCAAAAUUGUAUUUAACCUCGCUCGUUGCGGGAGGGCCUCGUGUUCUCGUUAUCCGUCGGGUUUGCGUUGUACCUUUCUGGGUGCUAGCGAGUCGGUACUGUGAUUCUUCGGUGUUUCGGUAUUCUGUGGCUAAUGGUAGCAAGGUUCGUGCAGACGCUGAAAAACUUGCCAGCGAGUGAGCUCGCGGGCGGUGGCUUACUGUCGGUCUCCGGAGCGAUAAAGUCUGUCGGUUCACACAAGGGGCGUGCUCUUCAAUGAGUAUGUUUCCUGCCGUGGCCGAUACGUUCACUUUGAAAAAAUUAGAGUGCUCAAAGCGGGCGAUCGUAAAAACGCUCGAAUACCACUGCAUAGAAUGAUGGAACAGGACCUCGGUUCUGCUUUUCCGUCGGUUUAAUGUUCCUGAGGUAAUGGUUAAAGGGGACAGACGGGGGCAUUAGUACUGCGGCGCGAGAGGUGAAAUUCUUUGACCGUCGCAAGACUACCUACUGCGAAAGCAUUUGCCAAGAAUGUUUUCAUUAAUCAAGAACGAAAGUUAGAUGAUCGAAGGCGAUUAGAUACCGCCCUAGUUCUAACCGUAAACGAUGCUGACCAGCUAUCCGCUCGCGUCAUACCCACGACCGAACGGGAUACUUCCGGGAAACCACUUAAGUUGGAGCUCCGGGGGGAGUAUGGUCGCAAGACUGAAACUUAAAGGAAUUGACGGAAGGGCACCACCAGGAGUGGAGCCUGCGGCUUAAUUUGACUCAACACGGGGAACCUCACCAGGUCAGGACAUUGUUAUGAUUGACAGAUUGAGAGCUCUUUCUCGAUUCGGUGAAUGGUGGUGCAUGGCCGUUCUUAGUUGGUGGAGCGAUUUGUCAGGUUAAUUCCGGUAACGAACAAGGCUCUAUCCUACUAACUAGUCGGCGUAUCGUUUACCUCCAGUCUCUCUUCUCCGAACAGGCUAUAUUUGUUCCGCCUUCGGCUGCAGUUUCGGUGGGGGCGUAGCGGGCGUCGGAGGUGGAGGGAGUCGGGCGCGUUUCCGGUGUGAUGGUGGGUGCGGUUGUCGAGGUUUCCGCCUCUAAACGGCAGCUACGCGACUUUCGGUCGUGUUAGUCUGUCCGUGCUUCCGCGUCUCGUUUAAUUACGUAACUGUCAACCACGCGUCUCGUUUACUUUCUCUCGCCGGCGUGCCGACGUUCUCGCUGUUGUGGUCGUUCCAGCGGGAUGAAGUCUGAUAGGGGUCUGAGCUGGGGUGCGUACGUUGAAUGUAAUCUUCUUAGAGGGAUCGGCGGCAGAACUUGUACUACGCCGUAAGAGAUUGAGCAAUAACAGGUCUGUGAUGCCCUUAGAUGUCCUGGCCGCACGCGCGCUACAAUGGAGGGUGCAGCGUGUUUUCCCAGCUCCGGAAAGAGUGGGUAAUCAUAUGAAACCCCACCCUGUUUGGGAUUGGGGAUUGCAAGUGUUUCCCAUAAACGAGGAAUCCCUAGUAAGCGCAGGUCUUCACCCUGAUUUGAAUACGUCCCUGCCCUUUGUACACACCGCCCGUCGCUACUACCGAUCGAGUGUUUGAGUAAGGACAUUGGACUGGCGCCUUCGGUACAUUUAGUGACGAAUUUUGGGGAGUCGAGAUUCGUCGAGAUUCUUCUUCUUUUCGCCGCUUGUACCAGUGGCUGACGGAAAAAUUGUCCAAACUUGAGUACUUAGAGGAAGUAAAAGUCGUAACAAGGUUUCCGUAGUGAACCUGCGGAAGGAUCAUUA
rnacentral:rRNA from 1 species